UUCCGGUUGAUCCCGCCGGACCCCACUGCUAUCGAGAUGGGACUAAGGUAUGCUAGUCGAACGACCAGAACUAUGUCUGGGAGUGGCACACUGCUCAGUAACACGUAGCUGACCUACCCUUAGGACGUGGAUACCCCCGAGAAAUUGGGGUUAAUCCGCGAUAGAUGUAAUGUCCUGGAAUGGUAUUACGUCUAAAGGUAUUUCAUACAUGUUUGAAAUAUGCCUAAGGAUGGGGCUGCGGCCGAUCAGGCUGUUGGUGAGGUAAUGGCUCACCAAACCUUUGACCGGUACGGGCCAUGAGAGUGGUAGCCCGGAGAUGGACACUGAGACAAGGGUCCAGGCCCUAAGGGGCGCAGCAACCGCGAAACCUCCACAAUGCACUCACGUGCGGUGGGGCUAUCUCGAGUGCCACCUGAUGAAGGUGGCUUUUCCUUGGUCUUCAAAGCCUUGGGAAUAAGAGGGGGGCAAGACUGGUGUCAGCCGCCGCGGUAACACCAGCCCCUCGAGUGGUGGGGAUGAUUAUUUGGCCUAAAGCGUCCGUAGCCGGCCGUGAAAGUCUUCCGUUAAAUCCAGCGUCUCAAGCGUUGGACCGCGGGAGAUACUACAUGGCUAGAGAGUGGGAGAGGUCAGCGGUAUUCUGGGGGUAGGGGCGAAAUCCUUUGAUCCCCGGAGGACCACCAGUGGCGAAGGCUGCUGACUAGAAACACGUCUGACGGU
rnacentral:rRNA from 1 species